CCCUAAAGAACACACAAAGAUUGGCCCGAGAGGAACGAUCAAGUGUGUAACAAUUUGAUGGAUUUGUAAGAGUCAUUUCAAAAUAGGCAUGGGAUGGCUCGAAAGGCAGAUCAUUCAUAAGUCGAUUGAUCUAACGGGUGGGAAGAAUGUCAAUUGAAAUUAUGAUGAACGAAAUCGAGUCUCACAAAACACACCUAAACAGUCGUUUAAUGACGCAUGAGUCGUAUGCAAAUAUCGAGAUCCAAUUGCCAAUGUCAUUUUGACAUAUUUCAUAGGAUUUCAUGAUUCACAAGUCGGGCAAAUUUCGGUUCAUUUGGGAUCAGACCGAACACCAAGCAGGAGCGGAAACAAGAUAAGCCAAAGACCAAUGACCCGUGGUGAGUGGACCAGCCGCAUCAGGUCCUUGGUAACGCGAAGUUCGCAUACCUUUACCAUCGAAGACUUUUUGUCAAAGAUUGGCACACUUCAAACAAAGACAAAGACAAAUAUGUGGCCAUGUACCUCUCUCUGCUACCCCGUUAUUGUGAAUUGACCUUGCCUACAGUGGGCGAAGACCGACCCGGAUUCCCAGUUAAAUAUCAGUUUUGGCUUAUUGAUAAUCGCAACAAAGUCCUGCACGAGCCCUAUGAACUUCAUAAAAAGUACGCCGGGUUAUCGGAUGAAUUACCCUAUUAUGUAUUGAAUAUGAAGGAAUUCAAUAAGGAUCCGAACCAAUUUUUGCAUAAAUCCUUGGCGGUUCGUUGUUCGGUCGAGUUUAAUUGAGGGACCGAGCUCAGUUCGACAGCUCCUAUAGAUCCCAAACAUGGGUAGAAUCAGCGCUUGUCUUCAGAUAUCUAUCCGGAUAUGUAUCUGAUAUGUAUCUGUGAGCGGUGAAACUCGACUUCCCUGUCACAAACACAUGUUGGCGGCUUGCUCGGAGGUUUUUAACGCCAUGUUCUCGCACGUCGACAAAGAGACGACUUUCAAUGAAGUGAUCAUUGAGGAUGUGGAUUUGACGGCACUGAAGAUAAUGCUCGAAUCUGUUAAAACCGAUGACAUCAAAGAUUAUGAAGGGCUGGCGGCCAAACUCAUCUUGGCUGCGGACAAAUAUGAUAUGGCGGAUUUGAAGACAAUAGCCGUAAAUGAGGCUAUUCGGAAAUUUACUGUUGAUAAUGUUUGCAAUUCGUUGCGAUAUUGCAUUCACACGUUUUACUUCUGCCAGACUCUAGCUAUGUUUUUUUACUAAUUUCCUAACUUGUUACUUUCUUCCGAACAAGACUCGAUAGCUCUCUUUUUAAGAACCGUCUCAAAUGAACAAGACUGUCGAAACUUACAAAUAAACACUAGUUAUCCAGA